rnacentral:rRNA from 1 species
UACAGAGGUCUCAAGCGUUGUUCGGAUUCAUUGGGCGUAAAGGGUGCGUAGGCGGCGCGGUAAGUCGGGUGUGAAAUCUUGGAGCUUAACUCCGAAACUGCAUUCGAUACUGCCGUGCUUGAGGACUGGAGAGGAGACUGGAAUUCCCGGUGUAGCGGUGAAAUGCGCAGAUAUCGGGAGGAACACCUAUGGCGAAGGCAGCUCGCUGGGACGUUACUGACGCUGAGACGCGAAAGCGUGGGGAGCAAACAGG